rnacentral:lncRNA from 1 species
GUUGAUUUCAUAGCGGAACUUGACUUUAUAAUGAAUCCUCUUUGAUUAAAUAUGAUAAGUAUCUUGUUACUUUCGGGUUUGUUUUAGUAAGCAGGAACAAUUAGCCAUUGUUUACUAAAGCAAAUUAUGGAAGUGGUUUGAGUUAGUUGAGAGCAGCUGCGACGUACCAUGCAAAUGAAUUAAGGCGUUCCGGUUAAAUGAGUAUGAGAAUUGUGG